rnacentral:lncRNA from 1 species
UUACAGGGGGUCAGUAACUAGUUACUAGGUGUCAGUAACUGGUCAGUGGGGUCAGUAACGGUUUACUGGGUGUCAGUAACUGGUUAGUGAAGGUCAGUAACUGGUUACUAGGUGUCAGUAACGGGUCAGUAACUGGUUAUUGGGUGUUAGUAACUGGUUACUGGGUGUGAGUAACUGGUCAGUAACUGGUUAUUGGGGGUCAGUAACUGGUUAUUGGGUGUCAGUAACUGGUUACUGGGUGUGAGUAACUGGUCAAUAACUGGUUAUUGGGGGUCAGUAACUGGUUAUUGGGUGUGAGUAACUGGUUACUGGGUGUGAGUAACUGGUCAGUAACUGGUUAUUGGUGGUCAGUAACUGGUUACAGGGAAAAAUCCGGUGACCGGAAUCCGACAGUCGGGAAAAAUCCGGUGACCGGAAUCCGGCGGUCAGGGAAAUUCCGAUGACCGCAGUCCGGCGGUCGGUGACCGGAGUCCGAAGUUCCGGCCAAGUCUUUUCAUGUUGAAGAGGUGGGGGCAAAAUAGUCUUAAAAUAAUAUGGUUUGUUAAGGCUUUAGUAAAGAUUUGUGCAUUUGGGCAUAAAAAUGGUUACCUUAUAUUGGAAUGGGCUAAUGCAAAAGAUUAUCAUUGGAAUAGGAAAUAAAGGGUUUGAAUUAGUACUAAAUGGGCAUUUUCCCAAAAUUAAAUCAUCAGAAACUCUAAAGCUAUUUAAAUGUUGUCAAAACCCUAUAUAUAUGACCAAUACUCAUAAGAAACUUGUUAGAUAGACUACCUUAUUCAAUAGACAUCUAGAACCAUCCUACACGUAUCAUGUUGAGAGAUAAUCAUCCUCUCGAUAUGUUGUUAUCUCUCAAUAUUCAUAAGAGAUAAUGGAACUUGUUAGAUAGACUACCUUAUUCGAUAGACUACCUAAGACCAUUCAUGAAAUUUUUUUAGGUACAUACAUGUUUGUGACACGUACAUUUACU